UUGAGAUGAACUAUAAAAUAUGUAAACAAAUCAAGGAUGUAAUAUCAUUUCAUAGAACUCAUUUUAAGUAUUAGGCUAAUGUAAUUCACUAAACAUGCUUCUCUUGUAUCUUCUUACAACUUGCACCUGGAAUACAUACAAGGUAAAAAAUUGAGUACUGAUUUUUCUUUGUUCUCUCUACGCAGGCCAGCUCAUCAAGUGCUUACAUUCAGCAGCUUCUCUCAAGGGAUGUUGCCUGCCAGACAGAAAACCUGGAAACGCAUAUUUGUAGGCACAAAGCUGUCCUUAAAGUCUAUGCAGCCCCAUUUUAAAAGUGAAGAAGACUGCGAUGCCUUUGGAGACCGUAGCACUCAGCGUGGCGUCACCUCAGAGAUUCUGGGUGUGGUCGCCCCUGGCUCCUCCCACUGGUCCAGUCACAGCGAGGAACUGGUGCAGCAGACCCCAGACACCAUUUCAAUCAAGGUUGAAGAGGAUAUUGGUGGAGGCUUGCCCGCCGUGGGUUAGUAUUACACAUUGAAUCUAUGCAAGAAAACAACCUUGAUCAACUGAGAAUGUACUUGUUUCUACCUGCGCUAAAAGGCCUCGUCCUCUUUGGAAAAGAAUCAUGACCAGCGCCCUGCUAAAACACGAGUCAAACUUGGGCGUUGCAUUUCAAAGAUGGAAUCAGUCAAGAGCCCAGAUGGGUUUCAAGACAGA